UUGGGCGUAAGCGCGCGCAGGCGGUCUUUUAAGUCUGAUGUGAAAGCCCACGGCUCAACCGUGGAGGGUCAUUGGAAACUGGGAGACUUGAGUGCAGGAGAGAAAAGUGGAAUUCCACGUGUAGCGGUGAAAUGCGUAGAGAUGUGGAGGAACACCAGUGGCGAAGGCGGCUUUUUGGCCUGUAACUGACGCUGAGGCGCGAAAGCGUGGGGAGCAAACAGGAUUAGAUACCCUGGUAGUCCACGCCGUAAACGAUGAGUGCUAGGUGUUGGGGGGUUCCACCCUCAGUGCUGACGUUAACACAUUAAGCACUCCGCCUGGGGGAGUACGGCCGCAAGGCUGAAACUCAAAGGAAUUGACGGGGGCCCCGCACAAAGCAGUGGAGCAUGUGG
rnacentral:rRNA from 1 species